UACGAAGGGGGCUAGCGUUGCUCGGAAUCACUGGGCGUAAAGGGUGCGUAGGCGGGUCUUUUAAGUCAGGGGUGAAAUCCUGGAGCUCAACUCCAGAACUGCCUUUGAUACUGAAGAUCUUGAGUUCGGGAGAGGUGAGUGGAACUGCGAGUGUAGAGGUGAAAUUCGUAGAUAUUCGCAAGAACACCAGUGGCGAAGGCGGCUCACUGGCCCGAUACUGACGCUGAGGCACGAAAAGCGUGGGGAGCAAAGCAGG
rnacentral:rRNA from 1 species